GAUGAACGCUGGCGGCGUGCCUAAUACAUGCAAGUCGAGCGAACGGACGAGGAGCUCUCUUCUCUGAUGUUAUCGGCGGACGGGUGAUGAACACGUGGAUAACCUACCUAGCAGACUGGGAUAACUUCGGGGAACCGGAGCUAAUACCCGAUAAUAUUUUGAACCGGAUGGUUCAAAAGUGGAAGACGGUCUUGCUGGCACUUAUAGAUGGAUCCGCGCUGCAUUAGCAAGUUGGUAAGGUAACGGCUUACCAAGGCAACGAUGCAUAGCCGACCUGAGAGGGUGAACGGCCACCCUGGAAGUGAGAAACGGUCGAGACACCUAGGGGAGGAAGCAGUAGGGAAUCUUCCGCAAUGGGCCAAAGCCUGACGGAGCACAGCCGCCUGAAUGCUGAACGUCCUCGGAUCGUAAAACUAUGUUAUUCGGGAGGAAGAUAUGUGUAAGUACCUGUGAAGAUCUUGACGGUACCUAAUCAAUAAGCCCCGGCUAACUACGUG
rnacentral:rRNA from 1 species